GUAUUUUCGAAAUUAAAUGGCAGAGAGCAGAACGUCCACCCGAAGACGACCAGGAUCUGACAUUACCUCUAAAGAAACAACGGUUGUUGGCGAAGAAGUUGUCGGAUAAAGAAAGGGACAGAACUCGGAUUAACAUUGGCCUUGCAUUUCCAAGGUGGAGAGCACUGCAAGAGCUAAAGGGGCUACAAUCUGACUCGGAGCUAGCUCUUCUUCUCCUGGACAGAUUGCAACUGGAAAUAUAUAGCUUCUAAUGCCCAAACUAAAAAGCGAUGCCUACUGCAGUCUGGAUUCCUUGCAGCGAAGGCCCGAUUAUCUAUGGUUGUGUGCAUACGGUGCUGGCCGCCCAGGAGACACAGCCUGAGGAUAUGUGGGAGAGAAAACUGGUUUCUUGGAGUAACUGCUGCUGGCAACAAGAAGAUCCCCUUGGAAAACAUCAGCAUGAUGGGUAUUGAUAAUACAUCAGAGGUCUGCUACAUGCUCUUAAAAAUAAAUGUAUCACUGCACAGUUUACAUAAAUUCAGCUGCAGUGGGUUAGUAUGAACAGCAGUUGCCCAACCCUGGCAAAAACAGAUGUCAUAUUUGGAUUUAAAUAAUAUGUCAGCUUCUUCAUUAACAAAGAAAGACCAUGUAAGGUUAGAGAUGGCGCCAAUCAUUACUGCAGUGGAUUCGUUAAGAAAUUGCUUCCAGAUGAAAUCAGAAAUCGGUCCUACGGACUUCUUCUUAUAUAUGUUGAUAUUCAUUUUAACUGCUUGUUGGCGAAUUCCUCUCUUUUUCAAGUCCUCAAAACAAACCCUGCUGGUUAAUUAUCACAACUGCUAAUGAAAGGAAUCCACUGGAAGAUUUUUUUUUGCUUCUACUAAUAAGAAAAGCCAGAUGGUAAGACGGCCAAAUGUUCAUACUCUUACCAAGUAAAAGGAGUUGCGCAAAUUUAAUCUUUGAAUUUGAUUUGCUCAGACAGCCACUCAUUACACAGUCAGCUCCUGGACUGGUCCUGGUACUGCCCUCCAUACGCACCCUGUCAGUGAAAGUGAGCUCAUAGGUGUAGUUUAGCAAAGGGAUUUCCAUGUAGGGCUGGAUAUCGGUAGUCGAUACCUUAAAUAACCCAGAACUAAGUAGUAUCAAAACUUCCUAAGAUACGAUACCAUUCAAUCCAUUUUGCUCCCAGAUCUCGGAAAAACUACCUGUAUGGCUUUGUUUGCAGCCAGUUGGUGCUCUUCAAUUAAUGCAAUGUGUAAUUGACCCACUAGCACAACAGCUACAAUCCAUACAGUCUGUGGUGGAGUGAAGCCGGGAAUAGUAUAUUUGAUGGAGUUGGUAGUUCAGCGCGCCAAAAUGCCACCAAAAUGUGUGGCCAUAAUUCACACCAGUGGCGUCUAGUGGCAAUUUACACAACUGAGUGCUUCAAUUCACAUGAUGGGUAUGGGGAGUAUACUUUAAGGGUACUGGUAUUGGUGCUGGUAUUGUAUUUUUUUUAACUGAUACCCUAUUUCUUAGAUUAAAAAUUCAAAAUAUUAUUAUUAUGAUAUUGUAGGCUUCAGCAUGUACUGUAUGUCAUUAUCUAAUACAUAAGGAAACAACAAAUAUGUUCACAUGAAAAUAAAGAGAGAUGGUGGACGGAUGAAAUAAGAGAAUUUUUUUGUCAUUUAACCCCAAAAAAAGUUUAUCAGAGUAGUUAAGAGACCACUUUACCCAAAGAAACAUAGCGAGCAUGAAGCCAGACCCCAAAUAGCCUCUGAAAACAACAAUUAACCUCUGUCUACCCUGAAGUGCUCUUUGUGUAUAUGUCCUCAAAUGACUCUGAUUACCUCCUUGACUCUUAAGAAUGGCUAUAUCUGCCAUUAAAGGCUAAAAAGAUCUGUACACCUAAAGCAAACUGCGUCCACUCAAAGGCACAAACCAGUUGUUUUCUGAACAUGACUUGAAUGUUUUCUGGAGGGCCAAAUCAAUAUUUAUGUACAACACAGUAUGUCCUCAGACUGAACCUUUCAGAACCUACUUGUUUCGACUACAGCAGCAAAUGCAGUAAAAGAACAAUAAAAAAAACACUGCUAAUGAAAAUGGGCUUAUUAGCUUUAAUCUAACUAGCUGACUUAAGUUCCAGAGGGAGGCUAUUUCAGAGUUCAGGUUUACAGAAGCAAAUCUACUGCAGGUAUCUGUGUGAGAGUCUGGUACAGUGAGAGGUAGAUGAUUUGUAUGCUCUACAUCUAUGUGAUAAAUGGGGACAAUCUGUCGAUUACUUUUUUAAAUCAAUGCAUUAAUCGUUUAGUUUGUAUCAUGUUGUCCAACCAAGAAUCCGAAACAUAGAAAAGCACAUCCCCAAACUGAAGGGGAACCAAAACCAGGUAUCUUCUGAUACUUGCUUUGAUUUAAACAAUUAAAUGAUUAUCAAAAUGGCUGGAAGUUAUUUUUCUUUCAUUCAACUUAACCUUUCAGCUCAAGUGCAGAUGAUGACCACUGGAAGUACCAAAUGAUUACUAAAAAUGAAUGAACUAACACCGUGUCCUAACUGGAUGUCGCAUUGUCGCGUUACAUCAGACGCUCUCUAUCCACACUGGAUCUGUUAAAUAUGGAUCUCCCUGCAGCCAGAUGCCAACUUAUUUAGGUUUUUGUAGUAAAAUACGUAGGUAUCCUGUUGGUAACUCCUCAUUUAAACCUUGUGAAUCAGCCAUUUCUUGUCCAUUGUGGUGCUGCCAGUGCAAGCGACAGAAUAAAAAUUGAAACGAGGCGUCCAACAGAAGUUCAGUUCAAAACAACACGCCCCAUUGUGCUGCGUCAUGUCACUCAUGGGCAGUUAUGAC